rnacentral:tRNA from 1 species
GCCUCUAUAGCUCAGUUGGUAGAGCACAUCCUCGGUAAGGAUGAGGUCGUCAGUUCAAUCCUGAUUGGAGGCU